CUGUCGCUAAGAUCGCACACACUUAGUGCAAAAGGUAUUUAACGUUAAAUUCAACUAAUAGUUUAAGUAUUGGUAAUACCAAAGGUCAAUUUGUAGUUUAUUUUAUUUUAUAAAAAUAACUGUGACGUUGUAAUUACCCAAUGCUUUGGGGCUAUAAUCGCAAUUAUGGCGAUCUCGUUGCGAAUAUAACGCGUUUUCCAGCAAUACACGUAAUUAACACGCCUCGGCGCCACCACACGCACACGUGGGAAACUAACCAAACAAAAUGAGAAACAACAAAGCCGCCGAAAACAAAGUAAACGAUAAAGAUGUCGGGAACACAAAAGAAAUCAUUUAUUCUUUCAUGGACUCUUCUUGAAGUCAAAGUCGUAGCUGCUAGAAGACAGUCUGAUUAUACCUAUUGUAUAUCGAACAAAGCUAAAUACUACUAUUGUUAUUUGAUGUGCAAAGUUUCUGCGCGUAAACUAUAAAUGACAUUUCUUAUAAUUAGAUCGAACAUUAGAUUGGAUUAGGGCUGUAUAUGAAUAAGGUACGGCGUAGAACGAAACCAGUUGCGAGAAUGUUUUCACUUGAGCGUUAACGAAGCUGUGUUUAUUUGGUUUGAAUAACAAUUACCCAUCGUCACGGAAAAGUUACAAAAAAUGCCCAAAGUGGAUAAGGUGAAAAACAACACACUCGAGAAAAUUUAAAUCAUAGCAAAACAGCUAUUAAGAGAAAGAAAGAAAAAAAUCUUUAUGCAAUAAUGUUAAACCUAUCUAUAAUUUUACAUAGAGAACAAUUCAUUUAUAAGUAUUUCCUUUUAGCCACCUAAGCAGAAAAUAUAAAAUCCCCAUAAAUUGGCUGAUUAUCAAUAUGGAAAAUGAAAUAUCUAUGACUACAAUAUGUGUAAAAAUCAUAUGGUUAUAACGAAUCUGAUGAAAUAUGCCCGAUCAGAGGAAAGUCAGAAACAAUGCAAAGAACAAAGUACUUUAAAUUCAAAAAAUAGUACAUUUUAUAGUCUUAGUUGUAUUAGAAAUAUUUCAAGGUUUUAUAUGUCCAAUUUAUUUUAAAUCUGUAUAUGAACGUGCGCUAGAUGUUGAUCAUAGAAACAUUACAUUAUGGCUAUAUUAUAUUGAAAUAGAAAUGCGCAAUAAUUA